rnacentral:rRNA from 1 species
UACGUAGGGGGCGAGCGUUGUCCGGAUUUAUUGGGCGUAAAACGCUUGUAGGUGGCUACGCAAGUCGGACGUGAAAUCUCCCGGCUUAACUGGGAGGGGUCGCUCGAUACUGGCGAGCUCGAGGCAGGUAGGGGGAAGCGGAAUUCCCGGUGUAGUGGUGGAAUGCGUAGAUAUCGGAAGGAACACCAGUGGCGAAAGCGGCUUCCUGGUCCAGCACCGACGUUCAGGCACGAAAGCGUGGGGAGCAAACGGG